rnacentral:rRNA from 1 species
UACGGAGGGUGCAAGCGUUAAUCGGAAUUACUGGGCGUAAAGCGUGCGUAGGCGGUUCGUUAAGUCUGUUGUGAAAGCCCCGGGCUCAACCUGGGAAUGGCAAUGGAUACUGGCGAGCUAGAGUGUGUCAGAGGAUGGUGGAAUUCCCGGUGUAGCGGGUGAAAAUUCGUAGAUAUCGGGAGGAAACACCGGUGGCGAAGCGGCGAUCUGGGUCGAUACGUG